UGCAGAACAGAACGUAUGAGACACAGUGUGCUAGCACUUUCAAUACAAGCUGAUGAAACAAAAUGAAAGAUAAUUGCAUAGAGAGGUUAAACAGCAGCCAGUCUGUAAUCUAGAUGAUGGAAGCUUUUGAAAGCACAAGGACUAUGAUUAACAUCCCUAACAAUCAAAUCUAUUGUGCUUUCAGCAUGCACAGUAUAAUACCAGCGUAAUGAGUUGAAGUUUCUGACCGCCGUUGUUCAUUAAUUAGGAUGUCUUUUGUUAUUUAUGUAUUCGUUUCAGUUAUUAUUCAUUUAGCCUUUUCUCCCCAAGUACUUAAAGAUAGUUGGUAACCUUAUACUGGGAGACUUUUUGACAGAAAUGAAAAUACAGUAAUAUACAGGUAUACUGCUUAUAACCAUAAUCUUAUUUUGAAUUAAAUUGUCAAGGUUAAUUGUUGAUACUCCUUGUUUACUCCACAUUUAAAUGUCUCUUGAGCAGCAAAUCAGCAUAUUAGAAUGAUUUCUGAAGAUCAUGUGACACCGAAGACUGGAGUAAUGAGAAAAUGGAAAUCGAGGGGUUAUGACGUUAUUGGCAGGCAACACAAUGACACUCUGGACACGGCUGUAUUUCAGAUCAUCACCAGCAGGGAGCGUCUAUCACCACUUUACGGAAUUACUGUGGCUUCCUACAACAUUCCUCAAUCACAAGCUGCUGUGCCAUGGCUGCUUACCUCUCCACACAAUCAGAGAGACGUGAACAGUGGUUUGAAGCUGGUGCAUCGUGUCCUCCGACAGCAUACAAGAAACUGUUAUAUGUGGCCACGCCCACUCCUCCCCUCCUCUUUG